rnacentral:rRNA from 1 species
GAUGAACGCUGGCGGCGUGCCUAAUACAUGCAAGUCGAGCGAACGGACGAGAAGCUUGCUUCUCUGAUGUUAGCGGCGGACGGGUGAGUAACACGUGUAUAACCUACCUAUAAGACUGAGAUAACUUCGGGAAACCGUAGCUAAUACCGGAUAAUAUUUUGAACCGCAUGGUUCAAAAGUGAAAGACGGUCUUGCUGUCACUUCUAGAUGGAUCCGCGCUGCAUUAGCUAGUUGGUACGGUAACGGCUUACCAAGGCAACGAUGCAUAGCCGACCUGAGAGGGUGAUCGGCCACACUGGAACUGAGACACGGUCCAGACUCCUACGGGAGGCAGCAGUAGGGAAUCUUCCGCAAUGGGCGAAAGCCUGACGGAGCAACGCCGCGUGAGUGAUGAAGGUCUUCGGAUCGUAAAACUCUGUUAUUAGGGAAGAACAUAUGUGUAAGUAACUGUGCACAUCUUGACGGUACCUAAUCAGAAAGCCACGGCUAACUACGUG